CGAGCGGACAGAAGGGAGCUUGCUCCCGGAUGUUAGCGGCGGACGGGUGAGUAACACGUGGGUAACCUGCCUGUAAGACUGGGAUAACUCCGGGAAACCGGAGCUAAUACCGGAUAGUUCCUUGAACCGCAUGGUUCAAGGAUGAAAGACGGUUUCGGCUGUCACUUACAGAUGGACCCGCGGCGCAUUAGCUAGUUGGUGAGGUAACGGCUCACCAAGGCGACGAUGCGUAGCCGACCUGAGAGGGUGAUCGGCCACACUGGGACUGAGACACGGCCCAGACUCCUACGGGAGGCAGCAGUAGGGAAUCUUCCGCAAUGGACGAAAGUCUGACGGAGCAACGCCGCGUGAGUGAUGAAGGUUUUCGGAUCGUAAAGCUCUGUUGUUAGGGAAGAACAAGUGCAAGAGUAACUGCUUGCACCUUGACGGUACCUAACCAGAAAGCCACGGCUAACUACGUGCCAGCAGCCGCGGUAAUACGUAGGUGGCAAGCGUUGUCCGGAAUUAUUGGGCGUAAAGGGCUCGCAGGCGGUUUCUUAAGUCUGAUGUGAAAGCCCCCGGCUCAACCGGGGAGGGUCAUUGGAAACUGGGAAACUUGAGUGCAGAAGAGGAGAGUGGAAUUCCACGUGUAGCGGUGAAAUGCGUAGAGAUGUGGAGGAACACCAGUGGCGAAGGCGACUCUCUGGUCUGUAACUGACGCUGAGGAGCGAAAGCGUGGGGAGCGAACAGGAUUAGAUACCCUGGUAGUCCACGCCGUAAACGAUGAGUGCUAAGUGUUAGGGGGUUUCCGCCCCUUAGUGCUGCAGCUAACGCAUUAAGCACUCCGCCUGGGGAGUACGGGUCGCAAGACUGAAACUCAAAGGA
rnacentral:rRNA from 1 species